rnacentral:rRNA from 1 species
AUUGAACGCUGGCGGCAUGCUUUACACAUGCAAGUCGAACGGCAACACGGGGGCGAACCCUCGGUGGCGAGUGGCGAACGGGUGAGUAAUACAUAGGAACGUAUCCUGAAAUAGGGGGAGUAGCUCGGCGAAAGACCGGAUUAAUACCGCAUACGAUCUACGGAUGAAAGCAGGGGAUUCGCAAGAACCUUGCGUUUCUGGAGCGGCCUAUGUCUGAUUAGCUAGUUGGCGGGGAAAAGCCCACCAAGGCGACGAUCAGUAGCUGGUCUGAGAGGAUGAUCAGCCACACUGGGACUGAGACACGGCCCAGACUCCUAC